rnacentral:lncRNA from 1 species
CCUCUCCUCCUCCAAAAAACAACCAGCCCUUAGUGGAAACCUAAAUGACAAUGAGUUCUGUAUUUGUUUGCUUUCAGGUGUGCCCCAGGCUCAUGUUUGACCUGAAUGUCCCAGGUUUGCCAUCAGGUGUCCGGUCUGGGAGCUUUGCGUGAGGGCAGCUCCUACGCUGAGACUGCCAGAACUGGAAGGAGCAGUUGGAUGUUCCCGGUUUUGGGGUCGGAUGGAGCUGGUACCCGUGGCAUCAAUAAGAGAAAAGGACUCAAUCCUACUAGUUCAUCUGAACACCAAACAAGCCACUCAGCUGACGUGUCACGUGAACCAAAGGUCCACACACAGCAAAAUCCAACAAGGAGUGCAAUCUAUGAUAUGAACAGUUUCUGGAAGGUCAACAAACCCUGUUGA